CCUACGGGAGGCAGCAGUGAGGAAUAUUGGUCAAUGGCCGAAAGGCUGAACCAGCCAAGUCGCGUGAAGGAAGACGGAUCUAUGGGUUGUAAACUUCUUUUAUAGGGGAAUAAAGGUAUCCACGUGUGGAUAUUUGCAUGUACCCUAUGAAUAAGCAUCGGCUAACUCCGUGCCAGCAGCCGCGGUAAUACGGAGGAUGCGAGCGUUAUCCGGAUUUAUUGGGUUUAAAGGGUGCGUAGGUUGGUUUUUAAGUCAGCGGUGAAAGUUUGUGGCUCAACCAUAAAAUUGCCGUUGAAACUGGAAGACGUGAGUGCGUGUGAGGUAGGCGGAAUGCGUGGUGUAGCGGUGAAAUGCAUAGAUAUCACGCAGAACUCCGAUUGCGAAGGCAGCUUACUAAGCCGUAACUGACACUGAUGCACGAAAGCGUGGGGAUCAAACAGGAUUAGAUACCCGGGUAGUC
rnacentral:rRNA from 1 species